CACCGCUUCCUUGUCUCAGGAUAAGAACAACAGGCGAUGGUCUUCUCACUUUACCAUUUGGAAAAUGCCUGGGACUCAAGGCAUAGCAACCUCGCUGGGGAGAGGACGCACGUCGACUGCUGCCUACAGAGCCAGACUGGAUUUGCAUUACAAGGAAGAUCAUUCUUUAUGCUGAAGUAAAUGACACCAGAUGAGAACUCAGAUUUUCAGGAAGAAAGGAAGAGUGUAAGAAAUGGCAGAGAAGGAAGAACAGAGGCACCAAAGAGAUGGACAAUAAAAAUAAUAAAACAGACAAAAUGGUGCAACUAUGCUUAACCGUAUGAAUGGGGUGUUUCGAUAUGAAGACUGUGAUCAUCUCCAGAACAGGAGACAUUUGGAAGAGCUCGUGCCCACUGGUAUCUGAAACUUGGCUGCUCAAGACUCAGGCUAAGGAGCAGAGAUCUGGGAGAACAGGCCCUUUUCAUGGAAGGUGAGAAGUACAAGGGGAAGAACCAAACCACACAAUUGCUUUUAAAGCUUCUGCUCAGAUAUGCUGCACAUCACACUCCUCACGCUGUUGUGGGCAAAGGAAGCCACAGGCCAAGCCUGGUGGUGGAUCAGCUCCCCCGAGUCGCAUGGCCAUGGUCAAGUGUAUCUGCUGUUACUGAGAAAAGAGAGGGGUAAAUAGUUGUGACAGAUGGUACAAAUGUGCACACCUCGCCUGACACAACUCCAGUGGAACAGGCUGUCUGUUGCGCUGGAACCAAUAUGAGCUUUUGGAUUUUCGUCCUCUGUGCAUGAGAGAGAUUCCACUGGGCACCAAGCUUAACCACAGCCUCCAUCUGAGAUAUCUGGACUCACUG